rnacentral:rRNA from 1 species
UACGUAGGGGGCAAGCGUUGUCCGGAUUCAUUGGGCGUAAAGAGCGUGUAGGCGGCCAGGUAGGUCUGCUGUGAAAACUCGAGGCUCAACCUCGAGACGUCGGCGGAAACCAUCUGGCUAGAGUCCGGGAGAGGAGAGUGGAAUUCCUGGUGUAGCGGUGAAAUGCGCAGAUAUCAGGAAGAACACCCGUGGCGAAAGCGGCUCUCUGGAACGGUACUGACGCUGAGACGCGAAAGCGUGGGGAGCGAACAGG